rnacentral:tRNA from 1 species
GCUCCUGUAGUCUAACUUGGAUAGAACGCAGGCCUGCGGAGCCUGAUAUCUGGAUUCAAAUUCCAGCAGGGGCA